rnacentral:lncRNA from 1 species
GCAGCUGCCGGACACCAGGAGACGAUGGAAGGUCUAUAGUGUUACAGCUCUGACCCAGGAAGUCCCAGGGUCUUGCCUUCCAGAAGGGUCGCGGCUCUUCCCUCCCUCAGUCCAACGAACAGGAGCACGUCACCUCCCGCAGCUCGGGGAGCUGGCCAGGAACGUGUUACAGCCCGUUUCGCUCCUGUCCGCAGCUGGGUGAGGCAGCCAGGAAAAUAUUACAGCUCUUCUCACGCCCGCCAUUCAGCAGGUCCUGACUUCUUGUGUGACAUCCAGAAGAAAGGGGUUACACAGACAGCUGGAGGGUGAGCAAAGUGGAGAAGUUCUCAGCAGAGAGGAGACUGGAGUGAGUUGCCCCUACCCGCAGGUGCCAACUGUAAUACAUCAGUAGCUGAACAGCUCAUUGCCCUCAAGUGUUCUUGCUCAUGCCUGGCUGAGUUAUUGAAGAAAUUGCUCAGAUCUCAAGCCCUUGUAGAUCACUGGUCCUGGCAGAUGUUAUACGUGAACAGAAAAGCCUGAACUAGGGAACUGACCAUGAAACUAAAAAGGAGAAAGCAUAUGCAAGUGGACACAAUAAACCAGCAAAGAGUACAUAGAACAAACAUUUUUUUUAGAAGGAUUAAAUGGGACAAUUAAACAAUUUGAUCAGCAUAAUGUCCAGCUCAAGGAUCUUGGAGGUGGUGAGGCAGCCCAAGUGGAAAGGCAGCAGAAGGGGUAUCCUUGUUUUACCAAUUACUCAUAUGUAGGAGAUGGUGCAUUAAAUGAAAUAUUCUCUGCUCUCUCCUAACAUCUACCCCCUCACACCAAGAGGAAGGCAUGUCGCCUGAACCUUUGCAGUAUUCAAUUAAAGUUCUAUUCACACGGUAUUGCAGUUGUUUGCUUAUCUUUCUUUCUUAUUAGACUUAAAACUUCUGGAAACUAGAGGCUAUAUUACUUAUUUGCCUCAGAGUCCUGUUGGCCUAUCAAAUGGCACACCUUCAAUCCAAGAAUGAAUUAAUUAAAUAAAUGUGAAGAAAAAAAAAAUCCAAGUUGCUUAUUUUUGUUAAAUUUAUUUUUCCCCAAAAUAUUUACUGAGAAAAUGACUCUGGGAAGAUAGCAGAGUGGAAAGCCCCAGAAAUGUGUUUCCCCACCUAGACAACAACUGUACUGGCAGAAUCUGUUUGAUGUGACUAUUCUGAAGUUCUGAAUUGAAUAAAUAUGAAGAAAAUACAAA